CCUACGGGGGCAGCAGUGGGGAAUAUUGGACAAUGGGCGAAAGCCUGAUCCAGCCAUGCCGCGUGUGUGAAGAAGGCCUUCGGGUUGUAAAGCACUUUCAGUGGGGAAGAAAGCCUUGGGGCUAAUACCCUCGAGGAAGGACAUCACCCACAGAAGAAGCACCGGCUAACUCCGUGCCAGCAGCCGCGGUAAUACGGAGGGUGCGAGCGUUAAUCGGAAUUACUGGGCGUAAAGCGCGCGUAGGCGGUCUGAUAAGCCGGUUGUGAAAGCCCCGGGCUCAACCUGGGAACGGCAUCCGGAACUGUCAGGCUAGAGUGCAGGAGAGGAAGGUAGAAUUCCCGGUGUAGCGGUGAAAUGCGUAGAGAUCGGGAGGAAUACCAGUGGCGAAGGCGGCCUUCUGGACUGACACUGACGCUGAGGUGCGAAAGCGUGGGUAGCAAACAGGAUUAGAUACCCGUGUAGUC
rnacentral:rRNA from 1 species